rnacentral:miRNA from 1 species
AUGGUCUUCAUUUUCUACUUCG